UUCAUCCCUCCUGGUUCAAGAUGAGUAGGAACCUAAUAAGGCUGUGAUAAAAGGGCAAAAGGCACCGAGUACCCAAAGGGGAUUAAUGGGCUCUUCCAUUUAUUUGUCUUCCUAACAGCUGAACUGUUACAAGUAUUGACGGUCUUCAAACGCGGGGCGCCCGUGGUCUCCAAUGGCCAACUCCAGCUCCAGGCCCCGAGGGGCGAGGGCUUCCCCCUGGGCGAUGCCAAAACCAACAAAGCCCCGGGGAUCAGGUCUAGGCAGCAGGAGCCUGACUAAUUAUUAGGACCCGUUUUGCAAGAGAACAAAUAGAGUCACACUGGCCGUUUCUGCGAGGUCAAAGAUGAAGAAAGCUGUUUUCAUCCUAGGAAAACAAGGAAAACUUCCAUGUGCUCAUGUGCCUCACCCAGGCUUAGUUAUGCCCUGUGCCACUACUGAGAACCACACAGGGUGGAUGUGGCUUUUGCUGGUUACCACCAGGGAGCCAACACACAGAAACUCAUCUCCAGUGGAUGCCUCCUCAAAAUGAGCAGUGAGAGCCAUCAGCAGCCCCACAAACAGAUUGUUUAAGCUGAAAACCUCCGCCGUGAUG